GACGAAGGUGGCGAGCGUUGUUCGGAAUCACUGGGCAUAAAGCGCACGUAGGCGGCGGCGUAAGUUGAAUGUGAAAUCCCCCGGCCCAACCGGGGAACUGCGUCCAGUACUGCGUUGCUUGAGGAUCCAAGGGGUGCAUGGAAUUCCCGGUGGAGCGGUGAAAUGCGUUGAUAUCGGGAGGAACUCCGGCGGCGAAAGCGGUGCACUGGUGGAUUACUGACGCUGAGGUGCGAAAGCCAGGGGAGCAAACGGG
rnacentral:rRNA from 1 species